CCAGCUUGUGCACCCCUGAGCCAGGCAGCAGCUGAAGAAUCCCCCCUUAUGAUAUGGAGAGGCAACACGCGUUGACGUGUCGCGCUGCGCUUCCGACCACUAGUAUCGGUAUGCGUCUCCUGCACACGCACUCACAACACUCUCAUGGGGACAUGCGGCCAGCAGACGCAGCCACGGACUCCCGUCAGACGUCAAACAGCAGACGGACACACCAGGAAAGGCGGUGGAAAGUCCUCCAUCGGCCAUCUGUGGCAGUCAAAAUGGACGCCGCAACAGACGGCCAUCUUGGUUUCAGCGUGGGAGCAGAGGGACUGUUUGAUGCUGAAAGGCAAAGAGGGAGAUGAGAAGGGAAAAUUGCAGUUUAGCAUCUUUAUACCGCCUGCACCUGAACCUGUUAAUGCUCUCUGUAUUUGUGGUUUUAAAAAAUUAUGACUGUUUAGAUACUUUUGACAAUUUUUAUAACAAUCAAUGUGAUGACAAUAUGAAGAUGAGUCUUCAGACAAGUUUGAGCUAAAUGCUAACACCACUGCAGCAAUGCUAGAUGUUCAGCAAUUAUUUACCAGGUUUAUCGUCUUAGUUUAGUGUAUUUGCAUCGUAGAUUUAUAAUAAUAACUAGAUACUGUCUCUUUUAUAAUGGUGGCCUAUCGGGAAAAUGCUUUCUGGGCUGCAGUGGAUUUUUUUUGCUGGAAUACUGCAGGUGGCCACUUGGAAAAAUUUGGUGCAAGGCUGGGAGCAUAGUUAGCAUGCUAACAAUUGCUAAUUAGCAGUAAACAUAACAUGCAAUUUGAGAACGAGAUUGACUAAUAGUUUAGCAGGUAUUAGCCAGCCAGGUUUACCAUCGUAGUUGAGUAUUAGCAUGCUAAAUUAGCUACUUAGCACUAAACAUAAAGUACAGUGGAAAUUAAUGAGAAUGUCAAAUAGUUCUGCAGAUAUUUGCCAAGUGUUAGCAUGCUAAAAAUUGCUAAUUAACAGUCAAGUCAAGUCAAGUCAAGUCACUGACUUGACAAUUAACAGUAAACAGAAAGUGCAGGUGAGAAUUAUUUGAAUGACAAAUAGUUUAGCAGGUAUUAGCCAGCCAGGUUUACCAUUGUAGUUCAGUGUUAGCAUGCUAACAAUUGCUAAUUAACAGUAAACAUGAAGCGCAGGUGAGAAUAAUUGGAAUGACAAAUAGCUUAGCAGGUAUUAGCCAGCCAGAUUUACCAUCGUAGUUGAGUGUUAGCAUGCCAAAUUAGCUACUUAGCACUCAACAUAAAGUACAGUGGAAAUUAAUGAGAAUGUCAAAUAGUUCUUCAGGUAUUUGCCAAGUUCAUCAGCUUGGUUGAGUGUUAGCAUGCUAACAUUUGCUAAUUAGCAGUAAACAUGAAGUACAGGUGAGAAUAAUGGGAAUGACAAAUAGCUUAGCAGGUAUUAGCAAGCCAGGUUUACCAUCGUAGUUGAGUGUUAGCAUGCCAAAUUAGCUACUUAGCACUAAACAUAAAGUACAGUGGAAAUUAAUGAGAAUGUCAAAUAGCUGUGCAGAUAUUUGCCAAGUGUUAGCAUGGUAACAUUUGCUAAUUAGCAGUAAACAUAACAUGCAGGUUGAGAAUAAUGGGAAUGACAUAUAGUUUAGCAGGUAUUAGCCAGCCAGGGUUACCAUCGUAGCUGAGUGUUAGCAUGCUAACAUUUGCUAAUUGGAAGUUAACAUAACAUGCAGGUUGAGAAUAAUGGGAAUGACUAAUAGUUUAGCAGGUAUCAGCCAGCCAGGUUUACCAUUGUAGUUGAGUGUUAGCAUGCCAAAUUAGCUACUUAGCACUAAACAUAAAGUACAGUGAAAGUUAAUGAGAAUGUCAAAUAGUUUUGCAGAUAUUUGCCAAGUUUACCAGCUUGGUUGAGUGUUAGCAUGCCAAAUUAGCUAAUUAGCAGUAAACAUAACAUGCAGGUUGAGAAUAAUGAAAUUACAAGUAGUUGAGUAGGCCUUUGCCAGCCAGGUUUACCAUUGUAGUUAAGUGUUAGCAUGUCAAAUUAGCUACUUAGCACGAAACAUAAAGUACAGUUGAAAUUAAUGAAAAAGUGUGAAAGUGUUAGCACGCUAACAUUUGCUAAUUAGCAGCAAACAUAACAUGCAGCUGACAUAUUUGGGAAUGUCAAUUAGUUUAGAGGAUAUAUGCCAGGUUUACCAUCAUAGUUGUUCAUGCUAACAUUUGCUAAUUAGCGCUAAAUAUAGUUAGCUAAGUCAUUAUUUACAGGUAGUAUUGUGUGUAUUUAACAUCUUAGUAGCACAGCUGAAGUGAUAAAGAGCCUCUCCACUGCCGAAAUACUCUCUGAAUAGAUUCCCAAAAUUUGAGCUUGUUAGCUCUUAAAAUGAAGCAAUGAUACUUGACAGUAUGUUAGCAGUCCAACACAUGUGGUCGACACAGUACAUUGGCAGAGCAUUAUGGGUGAAGGUGCAAGUGGGCAAAGUGCUUCUGUCUGCUCCACUGUUAGCAUUGUUAGCUGUCUGUUCACAUUAAAGACCAUUUCAGGUGCAGAAGUACAACUUUUAUAGGGAAGUUUUUGUAUUACAGCUGUAUGUUCUUAGUCACAUCCUCACCUGCAACGCUGACAACACAUCUGAGACCCAGGGAGCCUGCUUGUUUGUCAUAUUCCCUCUGCAUGAAGAAGUUUUGCUCCUCUUCAUUUCCUGUCUUGGCUACAAUGUGACACCUGGGCGGCCAUUUUGGCUCAAACCGGAGCUGCAGAGCCACAGGGUGCACAGCGGUUGCUCAGUAGUCAGUGUAGAUCCUGUGGGGCUGGCAGCAGCUACAUCUGGCUACUGGGUCUCUGCUGGCAGCCAGGUUGAUCAGGACACUUGAGAAUGACAGGAGGCUCAUAUGUAGCAGCCUGUUAAUUUCUCUUAUUGGAAUUCCUUUCUAACAUUGUCCAUGUGUAGUUCAAACACUCUGCUUGUGAUCUUUCUGCCAGGCAGCUUUUAGAUUUCAAAGGAAAUGUCUCGAAUGCCCACCCACUGUGAAGAGAAAAGCCUUCAAUGGAGUUAAUCCGAGACUGCAUGGGUAGUUCAGAGGACACAAGACAUUUUUGUUAUGAAUAUAAAAUGACAUUUUUGAGAUACUGGGUGAGUUCUGAACCUGGCAUUCAGUGUAGGAUUCUGUGUGUGUCAGUCUACAGCUACAUUGUCUGCUGGGUUUCAGGCCUGUACUCUUACACAUCAGUGUUUUUACAGGUGUUUGUUUUUAUUUUAAUAAUACCUGUAAAGAAUGCUACAUAGAAGAAGUGUUGUGGUGUGUUUGAGGACCCAAAAUGCAUGGAUAAUUUGACAACUUUGUGUUUAUUGACUCAUCAUAAAACAUUCUUCAAACAAUAAAACAAUUUUAAAUGUCCGUUUCUGUACAAUGCUUGCUAAGCAAUUUUAUUUAUAUAUAGAAAAUGUAAGAGGAGUUGUGUUAAAAUGACAAAACUCCUUCAAAUUUAAUGGCAGGUACUCUGGAAAAAAUAACAGCAUUCCAUCAACAAAUAUUUUCAAGCAAUAAAUAUGUAUUUAUAAAUAGUGUAAAUUUACAUCAAGAUUAGAAACAUAACGAAACAAAAAAAUCACAAAUUAAACUUUAUUCCAUAAGUCUAUGUGCAACCCAUUCUCUUUGUGACUUGGCUAGUAAGAUUUUUUUUUUCAUAUUUUUUUCCUUUUUUACCUAAUAAACAAAAAGUUUUUAAAAGAACAAGACGAAGAUAAAACGUAAAAGCUGAAAAAAAAAAAAAAAAAAAAAAAAGAAAGAAAAGAAAAAGAAAA